rnacentral:rRNA from 1 species
GACGAACGCUGGCGGCGUGCUUAACACAUGCAAGUCGAACGAGGCCCCUCCUUCGGGAGGGUGUCCUAGUGGCGAACGGGUGAGUAACACGUGGGCAACCUGCCCCCGGCUCUGGGAUAACCCCAAGAAAUUGGGGCUAAUACCGGAUAUGACCGCUGACCGCAUGGUCGGUGGUGGAAAGUUUUUCGGCUGGGGAUGGGCCCGCGGCCUAUCAGCUUGUUGGUGGGGUAGUGGCCUACCAAGGCGACGACGGGUAGCCGGCCUGAGAGGGUGACCGGCCACACUGGGACUGAGACACGGCCCAGACUCCUACGGGAGGCAGCAGUGGGGAAUAUUGCGCAAUGGGCGGAAGCCUGACGCAGCGACGCCGCGUGGGGGAUGACGGCCUUCGGGUUGUAAACCUCUUUCAGCAGGGACGAAGCGAAAGUGACGGUACCUGCAGAAGAAGCACCGGCCAACUACGUGCCAGCCGCCGCCGUAAGAC